rnacentral:rRNA from 1 species
UACAGAGGUCUCAAGCGUUGUUCGGAUUCAUUGGGCGUAAAGGGUGCGUAGGUGGCGCGCUAAGUCAGGUGUGAAAUCUCGGAGCUUAACUCCGAAACUGCAUUUGAUACUGGUGUGCUUGAGGACUGGAGAGGAGACUGGAAUUCACGGUGUAGCAGUGAAAUGCGUAGAUAUCGUGAGGAAGACCAGUGGCGAAGGCGGGUCUCUGGGCCGAUACUGACGCUGAGGAGCGAAAGCGUGGGGAGCAAACAGG